rnacentral:tRNA from 1 species
GGGGAUGUGGCUUAGUGGUAGAGUGCUGGCCUAGUAUGUGUGAGGCCCUGGGUUUAAUUCCCAGCACCA